rnacentral:tRNA from 1 species
AAAAAAAUAGUUAAUAACCUAUAACAUCAAUUUGUCAAAUUGAAAUAUAAAAUUUUUUUA